UACAGAGGGUGCGAGCGUUAAUCGGAAUUACUGGGCGUAAAGCGUGCGCAGGCGGUCUUUUAAGUCAGAUGUGAAAUCCCCGGGCUUAACCUGGGAACUGCGUUUGAAACUGGAAGGCUUGAGUGUGGCAGAGGGGGGUGGAAUUCCACGUGUAGCAGUGAAAUGCGUAGAUAUGUGGAGGAACACCGAUGGCGAAGGCAGCCCCCUGGGCUAACACUGACGCUCAUGCACGAAAGCGUGGGGAGCAAACAGG
rnacentral:rRNA from 1 species